rfam:Marininema halotolerans strain DSM 45789 genome assembly, contig: Ga0104500_112
GCGGCGACAUCCAUUUGGAGUCACACGGUACCCGACCUUUUUUAUAGUAGUUUGUUGAUUGCCUUUAUACUUUUCAUGUGUAUUUCUGCUCUAAGCCUUCGGGACGGAGACAGAGGA